AGUGUUUCUGAGUUUCUUAAAGUAUCAAGUUUUAUUAAAUCCAAAAUUACACCAAUAAAUGAACCUGUGAUUGUGGUAGAGAGAAGAAAAUGGCAGAAAAACCCUGUAUCAGUUCCACCCUUAAAAUAAUUGAUGGAGUCAUGCGAGGUGCAUGGAAGUUUGAUAUGAUUGACUGACCAAUUUUAAUUCUGUAUAAUGAGGGAAGGGAUCGCAAAACAGUAAUAUCGAUUCCUUAGAUGGUGAGAAAUCUAAUUUUAGCAAAUUGAGUAAUCUGUUCAAUGUAAAAUGUGGCAACAUGGCCUUGAGACACAGGUUGGCAAAGCACAUGAUAAAGCAUUGCAACAUUCACUUCCUCCAUGGGAUCAUAUUUCCCAUUACAGCUCAGCCUCAGUACAUGCCUCAGCUACUGAUCUUCCAAAGCACAGAUAUGGUCCCUGGAGAAGUUAGUGUAGUGCCAGACAUCUCCUUCAGUGUUUUGUCUUGAUUUGGUGCCAUAAUUUUGAAGGCUCCUUUUACCUAAUGCUAAAGUCCUCUUGUAAAAGCUGUAAAAAAUGCUUAAAAUGACAAGAUGUGAUUAAUAUUAGACCUACCAAUGCCAUUAAAUUUUAACAAAGGCCUAGCCAAGUUCUGCCUGACCGUGAUAUUAAAACUGGGAUGUUACCUGUUAGUGUAUCAUUCAAAGUGAUUAGUUUUAUUUUCUUAGAAACAAAUGUGCCUUCCCCAGCUUCUUCUUCUAUAUGGAGAUGAGAACUGCUCAUGUCAGCAUCCUGCAGGUAACCCGAGGGAAGCUGAUCACCAGGGAGAGAGCAGUAGCUAUUUUGUUGAGGCUUUGGUUAUUAAGUUAUUGUUGAUAUAUUCCUACUUGGAAAAAAACACAAGGAUAUAUCAGUUCCUAGUGCGCAAUGUGAAUGAUUAAUACUAAAAAUAAGUAUUCACAGAGACAUUAAAAACAGAUGCUACAAAGUGUUUUCUAUACUGGAGUUAGGAAACAAAAUCAACCACAGCCAUUACUUUUUAAUGAAGCAUUUAAUGUGAAAUUCAGGUAUUGUACUUCAUAGUAGUGAAGAUUUCUGGAAUUUGCAGCUGCACAUUAAAGUGGAUUGUGAUACACAUUUAAAUUGCUCCCCACACCAGGGGAAAACAGCAUGCAUCUAGAAAGGCAGAGAGCAACUGGAGAGAACACAGCAAUGAGUCACAGGAGUGCUAUUUUAAACAUAAUCAAUAUUUUAAACAAUACUUUAAACACAUUAUUUUAAAAAUAAUGUGGAAAAGUUUAAGGCAGUGGAGCUGCUAAGUCUGGAGGAGGGAGAGUUGAAGAAAGAUGUGAUACCACUCCACAGCUGCAUGGAUCAUAGUGGCAAAGGGGAAAGAAGGAAGGAAGUUUUCUCAGUACCUGCUGUGGAUAGAUUUAGCUUAGCAGGUAAGAAAAAUGUGUUCUCAUGCCAAGAUAGUUGAGUGUUGCAGCAGAUAACGUGGUGAGAUUUCAAAUCUCUAUUACAGGAAACUUUUGAGGACAACAGGUUAAAAAGACAUCAGCCACUUACCUACCACUUUCCCUGGGGAUUUGGAACUGCAUUUCCAAGUGCAACAUUGGGUUUUAGGAAGACAGGAGUAUGAUAACCAGAAUUUCGAUUCUCUGACUAUUAAAUCUAUGAUACAAAAGCAAGUGAACCACUUUCCAGGUAUGAUCUUAUCUGAACAAAUGUACAUUGCAUGCACCAUUUUCUCACAGUGCCAUGGAUUCUAGUAAACUGAAAUGUUCUACAUAUAUACCCACACGUUCAAAGCUGCAGGCAUGCAGAGGAGUGCUCUGUGCUCAGUUCCACAGCUGGAGAAUGGCAGUAUCCUUCUGAUGCUUCUGAAUAUCAACGUCCAGAUGGGACUUUUUCCUACUUACAGUUACAUGUUCUUGAAAUCCAGUAAAAAGGUACAUGAAAGGAAGAAAAAAAAUGAGUGUUACUAGUUUAUAGUUCCUAUGAACUAUGUGUAAGACAAUAAAUUUUGAUGAGGUUAAGAAAAUAAUGGGUGUGCUGGACCACAGCCAGCAUCAAUUUUCUUGACCACACACCAAUGUGAAGGCAAUAUAAAAGGCUGAGGAGCAUCUGCUUUUCUUCUCUGCACUCUGCAGGAAUGACUGCAGCAUGUCAGUGGUCUCAGCAAGCUCUGCUUGUUGUUUUACAACCCUACAGCCACUGUUAAAUAACCAGGGAAGUAGUUUAAAGUCAGUAUUGUUAGUUGCCUGAUGGAAUCAGUUAGCAUAUUUUGUUAGGACUUUUACCUUGUAGAGAUGACAUGUUGCUUGUCAUACAGUUCACUGAGCUAUCCCUUCCCAGCAGCACAUAACACGUGUUCCAGAAGGAAAUAGUAUUGCAGAAAAGAAUAUGAACUUAGUUGAAGGAUAUCAGUAAGGUCACAGUGCAUUAGUCAUAACAACAGGACUUACUUAUUUUUACUGGGACAAAAAUAGCGAUAUAUAUAUACAUUCUUCAUUUGUCUGCAUUCUGGAUUUUUGUUCAUUUUGUUACGUAUACUUAAAAACAGUAGCUCUUUCAAAGAAAAAAUGUCUGACUUUAUUAAAUUUGACAGAAUUGUGAAGUAUUUUGUAAUCAUUACAAACUAUUAUUAUUACAGAUUUUUGCUAAAAGUUGUGAUAUUGUGUGGGUGACACAACCUGGUAAAAUGGGAAUUCUUUUACUUUCAGGCAUCACCGAUCACUCAUCCUCUGCCUUUACAGCACAGCAGAUGGCUUCUCAUGGCUGGGCAUCCUGAUGCCACAGCAAUUUGCCAUGGUAGUUGUGAUGCCAACUGUAAUGGAAAGUGUUAAGGAAGGUGUUACAACAUCACCAGUAAUUAUCUAACAGUGAACAAUAUCAUUUUGAUUAUAUUCAUGUACAGAAAAAACGUUACCUCAGUCUUAUGAAUUACUAUUCAUUUUCUCUCUCACCAGCUGCAGGAAUGAAUGAAGGUUCCUCAGAAGCUUCUAGCAGUAUUAAGUCUGUGUGCAGUGUCAUUCAAUGGCCCACGGCAGUUCUGGAUUUUGUAAGAUGCUUGACUCAGCUAUUUGAAUGUUAAACCACUCUUGCUUCUCCCACUGCCACCAUCACUGCCAAUUCAAAAAGGACUAUUUUGUAUUUAGUACAUGCAUUUAUUUAUUCACUUAUUUUAUAGAAUCAUAGAAUGGCCUGGGUUAAAAAGGACCAUAAUGAUCAUCGAGUUUCAACCCCCCUGCUAUGUGCAGGGUCACCAACCACCAGACCAGGCUGCCCAGAGCCACAUCCAGCCUGGCCUUGAAUGCCUCCAGGGAUGGGGCAUCCACAACCUCCCUGAGCAACCUGUUCCAGUGCGUCACCACCCUCCGGGUGAAAAACUUCCUCCUAAUAUCUAACCUAAACCUCCUUUGUCUCAAUUUAAAACCCUUCUUCCUUGUCCUAUCACUAUCCACCCUCGUAAACAGCCAUUUCCCCUCCUGAUUAUAGGCUCCCUUCAAGUACUGGAAGGCCACAAUGAGGUCUCUCCAGAGCCUUCUCUUCUCCAAGCUAAACAAGCCCAGUUCCCUCAACCUUUUUUCAUAGGAGAGGUGCUCCAGCCCUCUGAUCAUCUUAGUGGCCCUCCUCUGGACCCUCUCCAAGAGCUCCACGUCAUUCCUGUACAGGGGACCCCAGGCCUGGAUGCAGUACUCCAAGUGGGGCCUCACAAGAGCUGAGUAGAAGGGCACAAUCACCUCCCUCUCCCUGCUGGCCACCCCUUUUUUAAUGCAGCCCAGAACACAGUUGGCCGUCCGGGCUGCAAGCGCACACUGCUGGCUCAUGUCCAGCUUCUCGUCUAUCAGGACCCCCAAGUCCUUCUCUGCAGGGCUGCUCAAGGAGAUCUUCCCCCAGUUUGUAUAAAUAUCUGGGAUUGCCCCGACCCAAGUGCAGCACCCUGCAGUUGGCCUUAUUGAACCUCAUUAGGUUUUCAUGGGCCAACUUCUCCAGCCUGCCCAGGUCCCUCUGGAUGGCUGCCCUUCCCUCCAACAUAUCAACUGCACCACUCAGCUUGGUGUCAUCCGCAAACUUGCUGAGGGUUCACUCAAUGCCAUCAUCUGUGUCACCGAUGAAGAUGUUGAAGAGCACCGGUCCCAAGACCGCCCCCUGAGGGACAACACUUUGUGACCGGCCUCUACCCUGACACAGACCCUUUGACACCCUGACACAACCCUUUGGCUGCGUCCAGCCAGCCGAUUCCUAAUCCAUUGAACAGUCCAUCCUUCAAAUCCACACCUCUCCAAUUUAGAGAGAAGGAUGUUGUGAGGGACCAUGUCAAAGGCCUUGCAGAAGUCCAGGUAGAUGACAUCCAUCACCCUUCCCCUGACCACCGAAGCUGUCACUCCAUCAUAGAAGUCCGCCAGAUUGGUCAGGCACGAUCUGCCCUUGGUGAAGCCAUGCUGGCUGUCUCGAAUCACCUCUUUAUCUCAUAUGUGCCUUAACAUAGCUUCCAGGAGGAUCUGCUCUUCCCAGGCACAGAGGUGAGGCUCAUAGGCAUGUACUUCCCCAGGUCUUCCUUUCUCCCUUUCUUAAAAAUGGGAGUAAUAUUUCCCUUUUUCCAGUCACCAGGGACUUCACCAGAUUGGCAUUUAUUUUUCAAAUAUGAUGGAGAGCGGCUCAGCAACCAUAUCAGCCAUCUCUUUCAGAACCCUAGGAUAGAUAUCAUCUGGACCCAAGAAAUGAGGCCCUCAUUUCUUCUGAGGCCAGAUACUCACUCUGAUGACAAGAGCCCAGAGCUAUCUAUUUAGGGAAAGCGUGUAUGUACCUGGAACCACAGCAGUGUAGGGCACCUCACUUUUCCAAAUGCCGAAGUUGUACCAAAAUUCUUGGAUUUGUUUCAGAAUGGUGGUCUUAUUGAGCUAAUUUUCCAAAGGACAUACAUGUUUUCUCUCAGCAGUCAAAAGCUUUUUAAUGAUAUUUUUUAAAAAUGAAGACUAAUAUUGCUAAAGGACAUACAUAUAUUUAAUUUACCUAUACAUGUACUAUUUCCUUCAGGUUGCAGUAAAUGGGUUACCAGAUUUUUAACUAGAAUGUACAUUAUUGUGCUGUGAUCUUGUGCUCCACCACAGGAGAAGAGUGAAACUUACUCACUGACGUGGGCACCGUUUCAGAUUAUAAAAAUAACUGAAAUAUAAAGUCAGUUUUGAAAUAAAUGUCUUUACCUUCUGUCAUUAAAUUCUAUUGUUUUUUUUUUUUUGUUUGUUUGGUUGGUUGGUUGGUUUUUUUUGCAGUUUCCUGGGGCACCAGCCCUGUAGUUAUCUCCUUGGAAAAAGUCAAAUUUGGCCUGGAAUGAGGAGCACCUCUGGAAAAGGAAUUGAGAGGAGGGAUAUGAUUAAAUGAUAUACCUGUUCCCAGCUAGAGCUAUGAAAUAGAAGGAAGCAGUAAAAACCCUUCCUGGAAGGAUUCUUGUAAGCAGAUUGUUCUUCAGCCCUUUGGCAAGUAUCACAGUACAAAAUCCUUGGAGGAAACAAAUAUGUUUGAGUGAUGGUUGAUGUGAAUAUGCCUGCUGAAUUGCACAAUUGUUAGCUGGGGCAUACAAGUGGUUUUGCAUUUUCACACUUCCUGGUUUGCCGCAUCAUCAUCCUGGUCAGGAUCCAAAGCUCAUGGAAAUCAGCAACAAGAUUUUGCUGAGAGGUGGUAGAUGAUUGAGCAAAGGAAGAUGACCAACUGUCCAAAAUUCCUCUUCCUCUCAUUAUCACCUCCCACUUAUUCUGUUUCACUUCCUUCACUUCUAUUUCACUAAGCCCUGGCUUAGCCCAGCAAGAAGCCUGUCAAAUAUGAAAAAAAUUUCAGUACUAUAACAAAAUGCACAUUAGAUUUGAGCUGGUGGUGCUGAUGCUUGAAAGAAGACAAUCAGCUCAGGCAAUAGCUACUGUAACUUGAACUCAGAGGAUGAUAGCUGUUGAUUUUUCCUCCUGUGUUUAAUUGAUUUUAUUUCAAAUCUGUGGUGUUAAGUCAACAGUUACUGUAUUCCCACUUAUGGUGUGGGCAGCAUAAAGGGCUGCAGGGAAUUAGAAGAAUACAGACUGAUUCAAGUGACUUUUUUCCCCAAAAAGUGGGAAUUUCCAGGGGUUAAUUUUGAAGGGCAGUAUUAGUUUAUCCUCUGUGGUGUCUCUCCUAGUAAAUAGUGCAAGAAUGGAUCAUAGUUUAGCCUACUCAUGCCAUUUCCCUCUCUUGUUCUUACCUUACUGUAUUCAAUCAUAAUUACAAAUGAAAUCUCUGUUUUUAUCCUAAGCUUGCAUUUUGAUUGCCACCUUCUAUUCAAACUAAAGCAAUUGUUUCAAGAGAAAGAAACUCACAAGAAGAGACAGAAUGUAUGUCCUGGUUUCAGCUGAGACAGAGCUGUUGUGUUUUUUUUUUUCCUUCAUAGUGUCUGGUAUGAUGCUAUGCUUUGGCUUUGGCAGAAAAACAAUACUGAUAAUACACCAGGGUUUUUAGUUAUUGCUGAGCAGUGCUGCACAGAGCCAAGAACAUUUCAGCUUCUCAGGCUGCCCUGCCAGUGAGAGGGGCUGAUGGGGUACAAGGAGCUGGGAGGGGACAGAGCCAGGCCAGCUGACCUACACAGGUCAAAGGGAUAUUCUGUACCAUAUAACAUCAGAAAACAAAUAAAACUGAGGGGAGUUGCCUAAGGGUGCAGCCGCUGCUUGGGGUCUGAUUGGGUAUUGGUGAGUGGUCAGCAAUUGCAAUGUGCACCACUUGUUUUGUAAAUACAUCUUAUACUACAAUUACUAUCAUUAUUCUCCUUUUUUGUUUCUUUAUUGUCUUAGUAAAAUGCUUUUAUCUCAA